GACGAACGCUGGCGGCGUGCUUAACACAUGCAAGUCGAACGGAAAGGCCCUGCUUUUGUGGGGUGCUCGGGUGGCGAACGGGGGAGUAACAGGUGAGUAACCUGCCCUUGACUUUGGGAUAACUUCAGGAAACGGGGGCUAAUACCGGAUAGGAGCUCCUGCUGCAUGGUGGGGGUUGGAAAGUUUCGGCGGUUGGGGAUGGACUCGCGGCUUAUCAGCUUGUUGGUGGGGUAGUGGCUUACCAAGGCUUUGACGGGUAGCCGGCCUGAGAGGGUGACCGGCCACAUUGGGACUGAGAUACGGCCCAGACUCCUACGGGAGGCAGCAGUGGGGAAUAUUGCACAAUGGGCGGAAGCCUGAUGCAGCAACGCCGCGUGCGGGAUGACGGCCUUCGGGUUGUAAACCGCUUUCGCCUGUGACGAAGCGUGAGUGACGGUAAUGGGUAAAGAAGCACCGGCUAACUACGUG
rnacentral:rRNA from 1 species